rnacentral:rRNA from 1 species
CACCUAACAGCUAGCUAAAACAACC